CAAGGGAUAGUUUAUUUAAAAUAUUAGUUUUGGGAAUUGAAGAUAGGAAGUAUUUCCUUCCCUUGA
rnacentral:tRNA from 1 species